GACGAACGCUGGCGGCGUGCUUAACACAUGCGAGUCGAACGGAAAGGCCCCUUUGGGGGUACUCGAGUGGCGAACGGGGGAGUAACACGUGAGUAACCUGCCCUUGACUUCGGGAUAACUUCAGGAAACUGGGGCUAAUACCGGAUAGGAAUCCUUGCUGCAUGGUGGGGGUUGGAAAGCUUCGGCGGUUUUGGAUGGACUCGCGGCUUAUCAGCUUGUUGGUGGGGUAGUGGCUUACCAAGGCUUUGACGGGUAGCCGGCCUGAGAGGGCGACCGGCCACAUUGGGACUGAGAUACGGCCCAGACUCCUACGGGAGGCAGCAGUGGGGAAUAUUGCACAAUGGGCGGAAGCCUGAUGCAGCAACGCCGCGGGCGGGAUGACGGCCUUCGGGUUGUAAACCGCUUUCAGCAGGGGCGAAGCUUGUGGUGACGGUACCUGCAGAAGAAGCACCGGCUAACUACGUG
rnacentral:rRNA from 1 species